rnacentral:rRNA from 1 species
GAUAAGUAAGUAAAAUAUAGAUUUACCAAGCAAAACCGAGUGAAUAAAGAGUUUUAAAUAAGCUUGAAUCAUAAGAAAUAAUCGCUAGUGUUCG